rnacentral:rRNA from 1 species
GGGGGGUGCAAGCGUUGUUCGGAUUUAUUGGGCGUAAAGCGCGUGUAGGCGGUUUCUUAAGUCUGAUGUGAAAGCCCUGGGCUCAACCCGGGAAGUGCAUUGGAUACUGGGAGACUUGAAUACGGGAGAGGGUAGUGGAAUUCCUAGUGUAGGAGUGAAAUCCGUAGAUAUUAGGAGGAACACCGGUGGCGAAGGCGGCUACCUGGACCGAUAUUGACGCUGAGACGCGAAAGCGUGGGGAGCAAACAGGAUUAGAUACCCUGGUAGUCCACGCCGUAAACGAUGAGAACUAGGUGUUGCGGGUAUUGACCCCUGCAGUGCCGCGGCUAACGCAUUAAGUUCUCCGCCUGGGAAGUACGGUCGCAAGACUA